GGCGCAAGCGUUGUCCGGAAUUAUUGGGCGUAAAGAGCUCGUAGGCGGUUUGUCGCGUCUGCUGUGAAAGCCCGGGGCUUAACCCCGGGUGUGCAGUGGGUACGGGCAGACUUGAGUGCAGUAGGGGAGACUGGAACUCCUGGUGUAGCGGUGAAAUGCGCAAAUAUCAGGAAGAACACCGAUGGCGAAGGCAGGUCUCUGGGCUGUUACUGACGCUGAGGAGCGAAAGCAUGGGGAGCGAACAGGAUUAGAUACCCUGGUAGUCCAUGCCGUAAACGUUGGGCACUAGGUGUGGGGGACAUUCCACGUUUUCCGCGCCGUAGCUAACGCAUUAAGUGCCCCGCCUGGGGAGUACGGCCGCAAGGCUAAAACUCAAAGGAAUUGACGGGGGCCCGCACAAGCGGCGGAGCAUGCGGAUUAAUUCGAUGCAACGCGAAAAACCUUACCAAGGCUUGACAUACACCGGAUCGGCUCAAAGAUGGGUUUUCCUCCUUGUGGGGCUGGUGUACAGGUGGUGCAUGGUUGUCGUCAGCUCGUGUCGUGAGAUGUUGGGUUAAGUCCCGCAACGAGCGCAACCCUCGUUCUAUGUUGCCAGCACGUGAUGGUGGGGACUCAUAGGAGACUGCCGGGGUCAACUCGGAGGAAGGUGGGGAUGACGUCAAAUCAUCAUGCCCCUUAUGUCUUGGGCUUCACGCAUGCUACAAUGGCCAGUACAAUGGGUUGCGAUACCGUGAGGUGGAGCUAAUCCCAAAAAGCUGGUCUCAGUUCGGAUCGUGGUCUGCAACUCGACCACGUGAAGUCGGAGUCGCUAGUAAUCGCAGAUCAGCAACGCUGCGGUGAAUAC
rnacentral:rRNA from 1 species